UAUUUAUUUUGGGCCCUUUUAUUGAGGACUGAAGGAUUCCAUACUGGGGUCGACUGAGAGAUUCUAUCCUUCAGAUCCCAAAGUUAGAAAAAAAGGACAUAAAGUACUUCAAGAUCUUGCAGGGGUACAAAAUUCCUCCUUCAAAGCAAUUGCUGUUAGAGCAGACCCUCCAUAAUACUGAUCUUAGUCUGACCAACCCCAA
rnacentral:lncRNA from 1 species